rnacentral:rRNA from 1 species
AUUGAACGCUGGCGGCAGGCCUAACACAUGCAAGUCGACCGAGUGGCGGACGGGUGAGUAAUGUCUGGGAAACUGCCUGAUGGCGGGGGAUAACUACUGGAAACGGUAGCUAAUACCGCAUACCAUCAGAUGUGCCCCAAGGGGAUUAGCUUGUUGGUGGGGUAACGGCUCACCAAGGCGACGAUCCCUCGCUGGGCUGGGAGGAGGACCAGCCACACUGUAACUGCGACACGGGCCAGACUCGUACGGGAGGCAGCAGUGGGGAAUAUUGCACAAUGGGCGCAAGCCUGAUGCAGCCACGCCGCGUGUAUGAAGAAGGCCUUCGGGUUUUAAAGUACGUUCAGCGGGGAGGCGUUACCCGCAGAAGAAGCACCGGCUAACUCCGUGCCAGCAGCCGCGGUAAUUC